AGCAGCCGCGGUAAUUCCAGCUCCAAUAGCGUAUAUUAAAGUUGUUGCAGUUAAAAAGCUCGUAGUUGAAUUUCGGGAUCAAUAUAUCGGUCAUGCUUAGGUAUGUACUGGUAUUAUUGAUUUCUCCCUUCUGAAGAACCAUGAUGUCAUUAAUUUGGUGUCGUGGGGAAUCAGGACUGUUACUUUGAAAAAAUUAGAGUGUUUAAAGCAGGCAUACGCUUGAAUACAUUAGCAUGGAAUAAUGAAAUAGGACGUUUGAUUCUAUUUUGUUGGUUUCUAGGAUCGACGUAAUGAUUAAUAGGGAUAGUUGGGGGCAUUAGUAUUCAAUUGUCAGAGGUGAAAUUCUUGGAUUUAUUGAAGACUAACUACUGCGAAAGCAUUUGCCAAGGAUGUUUUCAUUAAUCAAGAACGAAAGUUAGGGGAUCGAAGACGAUCAGAUACCGUCGUAGUCUUAACCAUAAACUAUGCCGACUAGGGAUCGGAUGAUGUUAAUUUUUAAUGGCUCAUUC
rnacentral:rRNA from 1 species